rnacentral:rRNA from 1 species
GACGAGCCGUGCGAACGUUAUUCGGAAUUAUUGGGCGUAAAGCGCGCGUAGGCGGUUACUCAAGUCGGAUGUGAAAGCCCUCGGCUUAACUGAGGAAGUGCACCCGAAACUGAGUAGCUAGAGUACUAAAGAGGGUCGCGGAAUUCCCGGUGUAGAGGUGAAAUUCGUAGAUAUCGGGAGGAACACCUGCGGCGAAGGCGGGUUGCUGGGCUGACACUGACGCUGACAGCGCGAAAGCUAGGGGAGCGAACGGG